UACAAGCAGAAGGUCCUCAUAAAAAAAGAAAAAAGAAAGAAAAGGGCAGACUAAACAGACGCUCAUGCAUGCUAAAGUUUUGUUGUGGUGAUAAGAAUUAGGAGCGCCACCCCCAGAAAAAAAAUUGAAAAACAAACAAAAAACCCGGGUCUCCUAAUUGCCUUUUCCCGUAUAUGAAGACAGCCUAUUGACCAAUUGAACUUCCUGAAGGUUUCUUUCUUGCAGGCUAAGUUAUUUUGGCGAUAGAGAACAUACCCUUGCAGUCCUAGCACACCACACCGCCUGUGACUUCUGAAUUUAGGGCGUAGGAGCAAUAUUGACGUUAGGCUCUUUCCAAUAAAUCCAAGACAUGUUGGGCAGAUUCCAUUUCCAUUUACAGAACAAUCGUCUAGGCUGUGUAUAUAGACGAGGAUGACCCUUUAGAAUUAUUAAUCUAUCCUAACCAAUAGCAAGCUCUCCGAACAAAGAUCUGGCCAAUCUUUAUGUGUUUCACAUCCGUUGUUGGCCUCUUCAGCUUAUUGAAGUUCAAAAGUCUGGAAAUCUCCUUUCUUUCUUUUAGUUUCACUUCAAUAGAAACUUUCUGAUCUUUCGUUAACUUGCAUAUGAAUCUAAGCUGAAUUGAAUUAUUUAUUUGUUUA